GUGCUUGCUUUGACAGCAUAUAUACUAAAGUUGGAAUGAUACAGAGAAGAUUAGCAUGGCC
rnacentral:snRNA from 1 species